UACGAAGGGGGCUAGCGUUGCUCGGAAUCACUGGGCGUAAAGCGCACGUAGGCGGCUUUCUAAGUCAGGGGUGAAAUCCUGGAGCUCAACUCCAGAACUGCCUUUGAUACUGGAGAGCUCGAGUCCGGGAGAGGUGAGUGGAACUCCGAGUGUAGAGGUGAAAUUCGUAGAUAUUCGGAAGAACACCAGUGGCGAAGGCGGCCUUCUGGACGGUAACGUGACGCUGAGACGCGAAAGCGUGGGGAGCAAACAGG
rnacentral:rRNA from 1 species